rnacentral:rRNA from 1 species
UACGUAGGGACCAAGCGUUGCUCGGAAUCACUGGGCGUAAAGGGCGCGUAGGCGGGAUGGCAAGUCGGUCGUGAAAUCCUUCGGCUCAACCGAAGAACGUCGGCCGAUACUGCCGUUCUUGAGGGAUGCAGAGGAGAUUGGAAUUCCCGGUGUAGCGGUGAAAUGUGUAGAGAUCGGGAGGAACACCGGUGGCGAAGGCGGGUCUCUGGGCAUCUCCUGACGCUGAGGCGCGAAAGCGUGGGGAGCAAACGGG